GCGACCAGAGAGGGAGAGAGGGGAAGAACCGUUCAACGUCUAGUUUUGCUAUACAUUUGUUUGAGUUGUCAACUAACGUGAAUUUAACGUGAAAUCAACCAAAAAAAGGCACCAUGUCUUUGGAUUUAGGUUCAAAGUUGGGUGGAAAAAAUGCGAUAUGCCCUUUACGUUGAUGACUUAUUGCAAAUCGAAUCAGUUUUCCACGUUACAGGUUGUAUGGGUUGAAAUGACGUAGAAACAACAUUGAUUCAACCCCUUCUGCCCAGUGGGAACAGCAAGAGAGACAGGAACACAACACAUGUCAACACACGCAUCCGCUCAGUGGAUGAUGUCAGAGAUGACAUCUGCUUUAAGGUCUAUCUGGUGAACAGGGACUUGCCGGUAGCUACACUGUGUGCUAAGUGGUUUGUCUUAUCUGUGUGGAUGGACACUUAAGUGGCCAGUCAAGCCACUCGCUCUCCGUUCAUCCCCAAGGGAGGUUUUAGCACGUUUUAUUAGUCGAUGAUGCUCUGAGAGACUAACAAGUUCUAGUUCAUAGAAAAUGUAUUCUCUGUGUUCCUCUGAGAACCCAGCAGAAUACAAAAACGUGUGCUGUUACUCAGUGGAACAUUGAAGAGCUUAGAUACAGGUUCAUGAGCAUUUGGACACUUUAGAAAGUUUGAUGAACAAAUGUCUGAAUGUAACCUAACCAGCUCUCUAUCUGCUAGUGAGAACAUAUCAGGACAGAUGCCAGGACAGAUCCAUUGCUCACAGCAAAGAGAGACAUUGUUUGAUGUCACAACACCAAAGGAAUUUGAACGAGCCAGACACCAGUUGAUAGCCUCAUUCUGUGGUAUAAAUAAAGACUUCUUAAAACCAUUACACGGAGACUUACCACACCAGCGCCAUACUCUUUGGUUAUUUUUCUCCCAGACCGAUGAGACAACCUCUGCGUGACCCUGGAAGGCCCAAGGGAAAGAGUAAUAUACACUCUUCUGUCCACAGCGAGGGUGUGCAGCGUCACCUCCUGCCCACUGUGAGGCAGUGAAGCACACCGGGAUGAGGAAGGCGUCACUGCGUAUGGUGCUGCAGGACUGGGGGAAUCAACACUCCACAAUUGUCUCGCAAAAGCAGACAUUUUAGACAGAGCAGAAAAGACUCAAACUGCUUAAAUUCAGGAAGUCAUAUUUGAUUAUGAGGAGCUUCCUGACAGACGGGGCAGUGCUGUAUCUUGUGGGCGAGUUGUGGCUGUGCCCUCACUACGUGGAUGACGGUGGUAGAGAAGGCGGUGCUGUGUGACAGGGGCACUGGCAUGUCGUCUCUGAACCCUGGGUAUUGAUACAGCUUGGGCAUGCCCUCCUCACACUGAGGGUUAGAGAGAGAAAGCAGAAAGAUACACAUCAUAUCUCAAUGGGCACAAUUGGAAAAUGAUGUCAUUAGGACUUUUGCCUGCUGGACAACACUCAUUGCUAUUUGAACAAAAACACAAAAGAUUAUCAGUUGAAUUCAGUCACAAAGCUGUUGAAUGUGAUACAUAUGUUACUGUACAUAUGAGUUGAAUUACAUUUUGGGUCAGAAGGGCCUAUGUCAUUAAUUCCAUGAUGUAUUUAGGAGAACACCAUUGACUAGUCAGCCUCAGGUUGUGGCCUACUUAUCUUUAUCAGCUCUCGCUGAUUAUAGAUCAAAACACAAUUGACAUAAUAGGCAGGUGACAUUUGGGUUUGACAAGCAAUACGUCACUCCUCAUCAUUGUGACCUCUAACCCAUGACCUUUGAUUUUUUUUUUUUUACAUACAGAUGUGCCUGGUUGCAACUCAUAAAAUAAAUGAACUGCUCCUACUGUC